AAAAAGAAACCAGAAAAGAAAUGG
rnacentral:rRNA from 1 species